rnacentral:rRNA from 1 species
AAAGAUGGAUUAGGUUGUCGCUAUAAGAUGGGGCCGCGGCGCAUUAUCUAGUUGGUGAGGUAACAGCUCACCAAGGCGACGAUGGGGAGCCGACCUGAGAGGGUGAUCUGACAAACUGGCACUAAUACACGGGCAAGACUAAUAGGGGAGUGUUCAAUAAUGAAUCUUCCACAGUGCGAGAAAGGCUGAUGGAGUAAAGAAGGGUGUGUGAAUAAAGUUUUCUUAUCGGAGAACUCUGGUGUAGGGGAAGAACAAGUUGCGUUUUUGCUGGCUGUGCCUUGACGGUACCUUAUUAAAUCUGCGCGGGUAACUACGUGCAAACAGCCGGGGUAAUACUUAGGCGGAAUUACUUGUCGGAAAUUAUGGGGAGGAGAUCGGGCGCGGGCGAUCCUUUAUCUCUGAUGUGAAACCGCGAGGCGCAACCGUAAAGGGUCAUUGAAAACUGGGGAAAUUGAAUGCAAAAUAGGAGAGUGGAAUUCCAAGUGUAACAUAGAAGAGGGAACAGAUGUGGAGAAACACACUUAGCGAGAGGUGACUUUCUGGUGUGGGGCUGACGCUGAGG